rnacentral:rRNA from 1 species
AUCUUGCGCAAUGGGCGAAAGCCUGACGCAGCGACGCCGCGUGGGGGAUGAAGGCCUUCGGGUUGUAAACCCCUUUCAGGAGGGAAGAAAUUGACGGUACCUCCAGAAGAAGCCCCGGCCAACUACGUGCCAGCAGCCGCGGUAAUACGUAGGGGGCGAGCGUUGUCCGGAAUCAUUGGGCGUAAAGAGCUCGUAGGCGGUUCAGCAAGUCGGCUGUGAAAGUCCGAGGCUCAACCUCGGAACUGCAGUCGAUACUGUUGUGACUCGAGUCCGGUAGAGGAGAAUGGAAUUCCCGGUGUAGCGGUGAAAUGCGCAGAUAUCGGGAGGAACACCAGUAGCGAAGGCGGUUCUCUGGGCCGGUACUGACGCUGAGGAGCGAAAGCGUGGGGAGCAAACAGG